rnacentral:rRNA from 1 species
UACGUAGGGUGCGAGCGUUGCCCGGAUUUAUUGGGCGUAAAGGGCGCGUAGGCGGCUCAUGAAGGCUGUGGUGAAAGUCCGGGGCUCAACCUCGGAUCGGCCGUGGCGACUCGUGGGCUGGAGCACUGUAGAGGCGGGUGGAAUUCCGGGUGUAGCGGUGGAAUGCGUAGAGAUCCGGAAGAACACCAGUGGCGAAGGCGGCCCGCUGGGCAGUGGCUGACGCUGAGGCGCGACAGCGUGGGGAGCAAACAGG